rnacentral:lncRNA from 1 species
UUUUAAAAUCACAAGUUUAUCAUAUUCUCGCCAAAUCAUUGUCAGACUGUCGUCACUGCUAUUGUCGAUAGCACGUGGAAUGUCAUCGCCAGUACUAUUGGAUUCACUAAUCAAAAAACAACACCAUUUUGGCGUCAUUGAGGUGAAAAAAAAAAUGAAUGUGUUGUAUUCAAAUUCGGUUCCUAGCAUUUGGAUACUUUUUUACCUUAUCAUAUUCGGACAAUUAUCAAUUUUUUUCGGCCAAAUAAGUUACUCCACUGUAGAGAUCGUCAAUUUCUAAUCAAUUUAAUGUCAUUUACAAGAUGAGAUGAGAUAGUCGGCGGUGGUUUUGGUGGUAGCUCCAUUUCCUUUUCUUGGGAUUUUUAAAAUGAAUUU